rnacentral:rRNA from 1 species
GGCGCACGGGUGAGUAACACGUGGGUAAUUUGCCUUCGGGUGGGGAAUACCGACCGGAAACGGUCGUUAAUACCGCAUGAUGCACGGCUCCGAUUGGAGACAGUUGUUAAACGGGGGAACGCGGCAACGCGUCCUCGUGCCUGAAGAGAAGCCCGCGGCGGAUUAGGUGGUUGGUGAGGUAAUGGCUCACCAAGCCUGCGAUCCGUAACCGGCCUGAGAGGGCGGUCGGUCACACUGACACUGAGACACGGGUCAGACUCCUACGGGAGGCAGCAGUCGGGAAUUUUGGGCAAUGGGCGCAAGCCUGACCCAGCAACGCCGCGUGAAGGAUGAAGCCUUUCGGGGUGUAAACUUCGCAAGAACAGGAAGAAUAAGAGAGAGUUAAUACCUCUUUCGAUGACGGUACUGUUUGUAAGCUCCGGCUAACUCCGUGCCAGCCGCCGCGG